rnacentral:rRNA from 1 species
CCUACGGGAGGCAGCAGUAGGGAAUCUUCGGCAAUGGGGGCAACCCUGACCGAGCAACGCCGCGUGAGUGAAGAAGGUUUUCGGAUCGUAAAGCUCUGUUGUAAGAGAAGAACGUGUGUGAGAGUGGAAAGUUCACACAGUGACGGUAACUUACCAGAAAGGGACGGCUAACUACGUGCCAGCAGCCGCGGUAAUACGUAGGUC